UGGGGAAUAUUGGACAAUGGGCGCAAGCCUGAUCCAGCCAUGCCGCGUGAGUGAUGAAGGUCUUAGGAUUGUAAAGCUCUUUCACCGGUGAAGAUAAUGACGGUAACCGGAGAAGAAGCCCCGGCUAACUUCGUGCCAGCAGCCGCGGUAAUACGAAGGGGGCUAGCGUUGUUCGGAAUUACUGGGCGUAAAGCGCAUGUAGGCGGAUAUUUAAGUCAGGGGUGAAAUCCCGCAGCUCAACUGCGGAACUGCCUUUGAUACUGGGUAUCUUGAGUAUGGAAGAGGUGAGUGGAAUUCCGAGUGUAGAGGUGAAAUUCGUAGAUAUUCGGAGGAACACCAGUGGCGAAGGCGGCUCACUGGUCCAUUACUGACGCUGAGGUGCGAAAAGCGUGGGGAGCAAAACAGGAUUAGAUACCCUGGUAGUCCACGCCGUAAAACGAUGAAUGUUAGCCGUCGGGCAGUAUACUGUUCGGUGGCGCAGCUAACGCAUUAAAACAUUCCGCCUGGGGAGUACGGUCGCAAGAUUAAAAACUCAAAUGAAUUGACGGGGUCAUAGCUGUUUCCU
rnacentral:rRNA from 1 species